rnacentral:rRNA from 1 species
CCUACGGGCGGCAGCAGUGGGGAAUAUUGGGCAAUGGGCGCAAGCCUGACCCAGCAACGCCGCGUGAAGGAAGAAGGCUUUCGGGUUGUAAACUUCUUUUCUCAGGGACGAAGCAAGUGACGGUACCUGAGGAAUAAGCCACGGCUAACUACGUGCCAGCAGCCGCGGCAAUACGUAGGUGGCAAGCGUUAUCCGGAUUUACUGGGUGUAAAGGGCGUGUAGGCGGGACUGCAAGUCAGAUGUGAAAAUCACGGGCUCAACCUUUGGCCUGCCUUUGAAACUGUAGUUCUUGAGUACUGGGGAGGCAGACGGAAUUCCUAGUGGAGCGGUGAAAUGCGUAGAUAUUAGGAGGAACACCAGUGGCGAAGGCGGUUUGCUGGACAACAACUGACGCUGAGGCGCGAAAGCGUGGGGAGCAAACAGGAUUAGAUACCCUGGUAGUC